rnacentral:rRNA from 1 species
UACGUAGGGUGCGAGCGUUGUCCGGAAUUAUUGGGCGUAAAGAGCUCGUAGGCGGCCUGUUGCGUCCGCUGUGAAAUCCCGGGGCUCAACCCCGGGCUUGCAGUGGAUACGGGCUGGCUAGAGGCAGGCAGGGGAGAACGGAAUUCCCGGUGUAGCGGUGAAAUGCGCAGAUAUCGGGAGGAACACCGGUGGCGAAGGCGGUUCUCUGGGCCUGUACGGACGCUGAGGAGCGAAAGCGUGGGGAGCGAACAGG